CGAACGUGAGCAACCUGCCGGGUUGGUGGGGGGAGUAACCCAUGGAAACGUGGGCUAAUACCGCAUUCGCUCUCACCUCUGAUGGAGGGGAGAGGAAAGGUGCUGCAAGGCACCGCCGAUCGAGGGGCUCGCGGCGUAUCAGCUAGUUGGGGGGGUAAUGGCCCACCAAGGCGACGACGGGUAGCUGGUCUGAGAGGAUGGCCAGCCACAUUGGGACUGAGAGACGGCCCAG
rnacentral:rRNA from 1 species